rnacentral:rRNA from 1 species
AGUGAACGCUGGCGGUAGACCUAACACAUGCAAGUCGAACGGCAGCACAGUAAGAGCUUGCUCUUACGGGUGGCGAGUGGCGGACGGGUGAGGAAUACAUCGGAAUCUACUUUUUCGUGGGGGAUAACGUAGGGAAACCUACGCUAAUACCGCAUACGACCUACGGGUGAAAGCAGGGGAUCUUCGGACCUUGCGCGAUUGAAUGAGCCGAUGUCGGAUUAGCUAGUUGGCGGGGUAAAGGCCCACCAAGGCGACGAUCCGUAGCUGGUCUGAGAGGAUGAUCAGCCACACUGGAACUGAGACACGGUCCAGACUCCUACGGGAGGCAGCAGUGGGGAAUAUUGGACAAUGGGCGCAAGCCUGAUCCAGCCAUACCGCGUGGGUGAAGAAGGCCUUCGGGUUGUAAAGCCCUUUUGUUGGGAAAGAAAAGCAGCAGGUUAAUACCCCGCUGUUCUGACGGUACCCAAAGAAUAAGCACCGGCUAACUUCGUG